AGCCAAUCAACGUGCAGAAUAUAUAGGUCAUAUUGGACAAGGGUCAGUGGAUUGUACCAUUACAAAAGAGGGAGCAUAAUAGUCUACACAAGCUUUACAAGAGAUCUAGAGAGGGUCAGACCCUUUGGUUAAUCAUUGCAAUUUCAUUGAAUAAAAUAACAAUAACAAAAGUAAUCAUUAGGAGAGCAAGGUCCAUUUCCAUGUCAUUUGAUCACAUCAUUGCAAGAAGAAAGCUACUUGUGUAGACUUGCUACAUCUACUGAAAUGGGGACGGGUGAACUCAGCUGAGUGUCGUUGCGGCCACCCAACCCAAACCAUGGGACACAUUACAAAGGACUGUGUAUUAGGCCCCAACAUCUCCAACCAGGACCUACUAGAAGCUAACGAGAAGGCCGUGGCCUGGCUGCAGUACUGGCACGGAACGAUAUGAUGAUGAUCUAUUGCAAUAAAACUCUGGUUACUGCUGAUUAGAAAAACCCAUGGUAGCAUUGGUCCCUCUUGGUUGGUACAAGAAGUGGUCUUGGACCAUGGACUACGGUAUGUCUAAUACUGAAAUGAAGUACAAUACAUUAUUGUACUGGUAAAUUGCAACACAAGUGAAUAAUGAGAUGCAAGGCCAUGUACUGGAAAUACUGAUUGUUUAUACCUGGGAACUUCCACAGUCGAAAUACAGGAACUGUAGCUGAGUAACAUGUACAUAUGUCAACUAUCAACAGGGUACAAGAAGUCGUAAUCUUACGCUAUCCUUGUGAAAAUCGUUGCAACAGGUCUCAUCCUUUACAAAAAGUUGUCCAAUUAAAGGCACUUUAUCUACAAUACGAAGUUUUAAAAAAGUUCAGUCUUCGAUUCGAUCUAUAGUUCAACCAUCAAACUUCCUCUAACUUUGUAAUUUGACUGCCUGUACACUUAUGAUAGUGGUACUAUCAAGGCAGUGAGUGGGCAUUAUACAGGGUUGGGUACAUGAUUUUAAAAUGGUAUAUAUGGCAUCAAAAGUUACUAAAACACUAGCAUUACACUUACCAAAGCAUAAGAACUAUACACUGUGAUUUACAAAAGCCUAUAUACAUAAUUUUACAUGUAUAAAAGCACACUGAACACUGCAACUUUACAUUACAUGUACGACUUAAUGGUACAUUAUGAUAUUACAUUACAAAUGUGCAUAUACGUACAUACUUAAGUUAUAUUCAUAUUUAGAAGAGCAUUGCUAUAUCAUUGUA